AAGUUCGGAAGGCAGGUAUCGGGUAAGGUGGAUGUGUACCCCGCCAGCAAGCGGUACCGGGGUGCUCUUUUCCCUCCAGCUCUCCUCCAUACCUCACUCUCUCUUUCAUGUUUCCCUACCUCCCUCCCUCCCUCCCUACCUACCACCCCCAAUCUCCUACACACACACCCUUAAGGUAGUGUGUGGUGGAGGUGUCCGCUGAGCGCCCGCUUGCCUGUGUUCUCCUGCCCUCAUCCCUCGUCAUCAUCACACAGCUUGGGGUCAAGCGUUCCGAGGGAGACCUGCGCCCCCUCUCCCCUCCCUUCCCCUCGUUGCCAGGGAACCCCAAGAGGGCUGGAGUACAGGGGCGUCCUGGUAGUGUGUAUGUGUCCAUGGGGGAGAGAGCUUGGAAGCUACGUACUCUACUUCCGGCAGUAGAGUGGAGUGUACCACACACCACGACACAUUCUCAACGACACAUGAUGUGUUCCUGGGUGUAGCUGUGAACUGUAUACUCUCUACAGGAGCCAUCUUCUCCACAGAUGUGGCAGAAAUUCGAGACGUGAUCGUUGGAGCAGGGUGGAGAGAGACGGACGGGAGACAGAAGCAGGCAGAAAAGACAGACGGAGAGGAGUAGGUGAAAAACGGAGAGAAGAGACAGAAAAGAGGAGCCGAAGAGACAGACGGAAAGGAGAACAGAGGGCGUGAAUACAAAGAGAAUGAUCAUGCUAGAGGAAGCUGGAUAAGGGUUAGUGGAUUUGUUACUGGACCGAACCCUCCCUGUUCUAAACCACUUUCGAACACCCAGCCACACUCCCCUCCUCCUCCACCAUAGGUGGGCUCCGUUGGAACACUCGGAGCACCACUGAUAGAUCUCUUGUGAAGAUUACUGUUCUGUAAUGAAACACUGCACGACAUGAAGACCAGGCGGGUCUUUGGCACAGGAGGAGCAUCUCUCCCAGUCAUCUCAAGCGCCUUCUUGAUGCUUGGGCUGGCCGAGUAAAAUCCUCGAUCUUGUUCGAAACCAGUCUCAACGCCUAUAAACACAGUCCGAAACUGGUAUCAACUCCUGUGAACACAGUUCGAAACUGGUAUCAACUCCUGUGAACACAGUUCGAAACUAGUAUCAACUCCUGUGAACACAGUUCGAAACUAGUAUCAACUUCUGUGAACACAGUCUGAAACUAGUAUCAACUCCUGUGAACACAGUUCGAAACUAGUUUCAACGCCUAUAAACACGGUUCGAAACAACUCGAAGCGGCAUCAGCUCCUCUACCAGCGUCAAUAAACAAAUGGAAAUCAGCUGAUUUCAAGUCCGUCUCUCGAGGAGCUACUAAACACCCUCCUAGAUCACCUCUCCUCCAACUUCGCCAUGAGCGAGGACUUCAACGACGACGAUGUCUUCCUCUCGCCCUCGGCGGAAGUGCCAGGGAUGGACAUGGGAGUCGGGAUAGGGUCAGGCGGCACCCACGUGGUCAAUGGUUCGCGGCCCUCUUCAGGGUACUUCUCGCGCCCUACCAGUGGUGGCCACAACGCUGGCCAGGACACGCCUCCAGCGUCCUCAGCACUCAGAGUGGAAGACAAGGCCCCAGAGAGACAGCGAACCCCGAGCCCCACAGGGUACAGGGGGGUGGCCCCAGCCGCACCCACCCUUCCCACCCCUGAAGAAGACGACAUUAUA
rnacentral:lncRNA from 1 species